UAGACGGCUGGUGAUAAUUUUUCAUUUUAACCACUGCAUGUUCUCUCCUCUCUUUCAUUUAUCUUCUUCACUCAUAAACAACAGACCCCGACUAGCUCUCCUUGCCGUCAAUGUUCGCCCUGCCAUUCCUUACCGGCCGACCACCCGGUGCGGGUGGGCUUAAAGAAACUUCCUUGAGUUGAAGACACUCCCUUGCGCGCGCGCGCGCGUUUUCGUUGUUGUUGUUAUGGGUUUUAAUGUUUAUUUAAGAGUGAAAGUUU
rnacentral:lncRNA from 1 species